GACGAACGCUGGCGGCGUGCUUAACACAUGCAAGUCGAACAGAAAGGCCCUGCUUUUGUGGGGUGCUCGAGUGGCGAACGGGUGAGUAACACGUGAGUAACCUGCCCUUGACUUUGGGAUAACUUCAGGAAACUGGGGCUAAUACCGGAUAGGAGCUCCUGCUGCAUGGUGGGGGUUGGAAAGUUUCGGCGGUUGGGGAUGGACUCGCGGCUUAUCAGCUUGUUGGUGGGGUAGUGGCUUACCAAGGCUUUGACGGGUAGCCGGCCUGAGAGGGUGACCGGCCACAUUGGGACUGAGAUACGGCCCAGACUCCUACGGGAGGCAGCAGUGGGGAAUAUUGCACAAUGGGCGGAAGCCUGAUGCAGCAACGCCGCGUGCGGGAUGACGGCCUUCGGGUUGUAAACCGCUUUCGCCUGUGACGAAGCGUGAGUGACGGUAAUGGGUAAAGAAGCACCGGCUAACUACGUG
rnacentral:rRNA from 1 species